ensembl:lncRNA LINC02367 long intergenic non-protein coding RNA 2367
AGUUGGCCCUUAGAUCAUGAGACCAGCCUAAGUGCCCAAGGAAAUGGAACAGCAGGGAGGGGGAGGGACAUCACACCCACUAUCAAAACUUCUUGUUAGUCUCUGGCUUCCACAUCCUUCCCCAAAACUUCAGCCCAAUUCACAGCCGCAUUUUUCCAUCUCUUUGCCAUUCCUCCAUGGGAGAGCUUUCUGUUGGUACAGGAAUAGCUGAGAAGUGGGAAAGAUCAAGGGUAGUAAGAGCUGCCCCCGAUAAUCUACAGAAAGCUUUGCUGGAAUGAGGUUGUGCAUCUCUGAACCUGAGCUAGAUUUGUUGGGUCAGGGACCAUACUUAUUUACUGGCCCAAGAAUUAGAAGAGGAGGUGUCUAAGAAAUGCUUGUUGAAUGAAUAAAUAAACAGCCGAGUGAGUGUUUAUAUGAGCCUGAAAACUGCCUGCACCAGCACAAAAGUAAAGCCCCAACACCCUCAGGUCACACCUACUGGAAAAAUAUAUGUCAGCCCCAGAAAAAUGUGGGCAACAUGAGGCAACUCCGGAGCAACACAGGAAACUGCCCUCCUCUUCUGGCCCCUCUUCCACUGUGAUGCUCAAAGUCUGUGAUGACCAAGUCUGGUCAUCUAAUCAGCAGGAUAUAAGAGGGUCAUUCUUCACUGCGGCCAUUCCAGUUUCCUGGAAACUUGGCUUUCUCCUGACCGUUUCCCCAGGAGCACGGUGGUGACAAGCUUGAGCUCUGACAUCAGAAAGUCCCCAGUUUGAAACCUCUAGCUUCUUACUCGCUAGCUAUGAGACUUUGGGCAAAUUAAUCUCUAAACCUCAAUUUCUCAAUCUGUAAAAUGUUCAAGGUCAAGCAACUCACUUUUCCACAUUGUAAUUGAUGAAACUAAAAUUCAGACUCAGAUCUGCCUCACUCCACAGUCUGUGCUUUUUCCUUCCCACUCAUCUUUUUCUCUUUCUAUUAAAAAUUUCAUAACACAUUUGAGAUUCUGUCUCAACUCAUAUCACUGAAAUCAUCUGUCACGUCUGAUGAUCAUAUAGAAGCCAGACUAAGAUUCAGCCACAAAUGUUAUGCCUAAACAUUUCUUAUUAUUUCUUUUUAAUGUUUCUCAUGUAUACAAUCAAACUCGCACCCUAGUAUUAUUGGCAGGCUAAUAUAUGCCCAUGAGACAUGUAGCUUAAAUCUCUAUGGGAUAGGAUAAGUAUUCUCCCUUUGUUUGUGAUUUGAAAGCUUUCCAUGGAUGCUAAAGCGAUUUGUUAAAAUACCUUCACCUGUAAGUGUUUUUCCUCUCUUAAAAGCCUAAUUCAUCUCUGAGUUUGUUUACUAAAAUAAUCUAAUUUGCUCAUUUUCUCUAGCCAUUCCAAGCUAAAUCCCAGGAAGUACUAAAGAAGCAAUGCACAGACACAGUAUCAUACAAUUUGAGACACAGUAUUAUAAAAUUGAUGUGAACUUCUAGGCACAGUGUGCUCACAGUCUGUCUGGAAAUAACUUUGUAGCAAGCAUAGUUCCAGUCUAGCUGCCUGGCAGCCUGGCAGGAUAUUAUUAUUACUGAUACUAAUUUACUUUUUAAUGUAAGUCUACCCAGAAUAUAUUAAAGAAGUUUCAAGAAAUCAGGAUCAUGGAUUAUAACCUGACGUAGUGCUAAGGAACCAUCAGUUCCAUGUAAGCAUUUGGUUAGCAAGUCUUUUUCAAAGGCCAUGCUUGAGAAACAGUUUUGCUCUCCCAAACAAUGUGUUGUAGUUUUUUUUAGCAUACUACUGUGCAGAUAAAUAAAUGAGAUAUUAAUGCCAUUGCAAGUUCUGGCUUUGUGUAGAGUUUUCUAGUGAAGCCUGUUUAGGAUCCUGGAUUUGUCCAAGCUGUUCUGAUUAUCCCAUCAUUUUUAACAUGGAUAAUCUACAAUCUUUCAUCUAUUACAUAAAUUGAAUUCUGGCACAAGUUCAACUGCUCUUCAUUGAAACUGAGAAAAAUUUUAGGAUCACUUUGCUGGAAUCCAAAGAAGAUGUUAAAUACUACCAAAAAAAAAAAAAGGCUGAAAACUGGUUUCCAAGAAUCUCUGGGGCAUCCUUAAGAACUCCCCUUGCAUGUUCAUUAGACGGCCCUUUACCCAAUGUAUCUCUAAUAGUCUGCUGAAAAUACUCAAAGGAGUCCUCAUUAGAGGGAAGCAGAAAGACCAAAGUCAGAGACGGAGAUGUGGCCGUAGAAGCAGAGGUCCAUGUGCUGCGGGGCCAUGAGCCAAGGAACCCACGCCGCCUCUGGGAACUGGGAAAGGCAAGGGAGCAACGUCUCCCUGGAGCUCCAGAGUGAGCCAGCCCUGAUGACACCGUGACUUCAGCCCUCGGAGACUGACUGUGGACAUCGGACCUCUGUCACUAUUUUCUGCAAACUAGGAAUAGAAGCAAGCUUCUUAACCUGAUGUAUCGCACCUUCAAAAAGCCUACAGCAAACAUCUUACUUAGUGAUGAAAAACUGAUUGCCUUCCCCAUAAGAUUGAGAACCAGGAACUGUCCAGGAAGACCCUGCAGUCUCUCUGCAGGCUCAUGGGAGCUCCCAGAACUGAGACAACACACGGAUCCAGGCCUGCUUCGAAGUCAGUGGGAUGCGGCCCUUGAAAGUCGAUGUAUUGGGUUCCUAGGGCUCUCGUGAAAACAUGCCACACCUGGCUGGUUUUAAACAACAGGAGUUUAUUCUGUCAGUUGAGAAGGCUACAAGUGCAAAAUCAAGGUAUUGACGGGAUGAGUUCCAACUAGAGGCUGUGAGGCAGAUCAACUCCAUGGCUCUCUCCUGGCUUCUGCUGGUUUCUGGCAACCGUUCACUUCCCAUGCCUGGUAGACACAUCACUCUAACCUCUGCCUCCCUUUUUCAUGGGCACAUUCGCGCCUGUGUGUGUGUGUGUGUGGAUGUGUGUGUUAAGGACAGCAAUCAUUAGACUAGAUGGGGCCCACUCUAAUCCACUGUGAGCUUCUCUUACUUUGGUAACAUCUGCAAAGACCCUAUUUCCAAACAAGGUCACAUUCCAUGUUCUGGGACUGUCUUCUGAGAGAUGUCUCCCCCAGGAUCCUUCCAGGUGGAAGGAUGCCCUUUGACCUGCAAAGCCAGGCAGAAAACCAGGAUCAGGGCAGGACAAGAGGAUGCUAGCCUGUGAUGGCUCCCACUCAGGUGGGAUGUGAGAAGUGCCUGUGGCCUGGGACACACCAACUUGCUCCCGUUACCUCAUCUGAGAUGGACUGCACAGUGUAUGUCCAGGGCCCAACCCGGUACACUGUGCCUUUGCAAUGCUGUCUCUGUGCUUUGGAAAUUCACUCAGCCCACUGCGUGGGGUGGUCUGAGGCGGGCCACAACCAUUUCUCAACCAUCCCUGAGUACCUGACCAGUAUCCCUCGGGGGUGACGACGACCGCCUACAUCUGGAGCAUGAGGAGCGUGUUUACCUGGUGAGUAAGGAUGCAAGCAUAGGACGUCCUGGCCGAUCCUCUGCACAAGCAAUGCCUUUGCUCCAACGGGAUGGGCAACGUUGGAUUAGGCCUGAGGCAGAUUUGAUCUCGGAAGAUACAUUCGAGUCUAUGUGUUUUGUGCAUUUAUUUUUGUUUCCUUGAAUUAACAUGGAGUCCAUUUCAACUUUCACUUAGUCUCCUUUCUCUUCCCCCACUUCUUUCUCUCUCUCUCUUUCUUUGUAUGUGGAAGAAUUUUAACUCUGUGUUCCAUAAUGUCUAAAUACUCAAAUUUAGAGUUGACAGCCAUACAGCAAAUUAUUCAAGUUGCUGUCAAAAAAAAAAAAUCCCUGCGUUUUCUAGGAUUAAAACUGUGAAUAGAGUACUGGAAGAAAAAAAAGUCAUAGACUCAGAUGCAAAAUGACAACAUUUAAUGGGAUGAUAAGGAAAUAAGACUUGACAAGAAACCAUAGCCCACUGCAGACUGUUCACGAUGUCAGAUGGUUCAUGAUUUUUUUCCAGGUUUGAUACAGAAGAAUCAGUUUGUUACAAGAAAUGCUUCUCCAACUGGGAUUUAAAACAUCAUUUAAACAAUAAACACGUUUGUAUGUAUAUAUAAAUAGAUAUUUAGAUAUAAAAACAUGCAUAUAUAGGCACAUAGACAUGUACAUACACACACAUAUGUACAAAUAUAUAUGCCUAAAUUUUUACUGACCUGUCAACUUACAAAACAAAAAUGAGAGAUUUAUAAAAGGUACAUAUAUAGCUGUGAAUUCUUUAAAGCUAUUUUUAAAGAAAUUAAUAUAAUCUUAAUGAUUAUCAGAUUACUCAUGCAGUACACAGCUACACAAGUCUAAUGAAGUACCAGACACUUUUCUUUCUUCAACUAUUGUCCUAUCUUAUUCAGGUUUUCAUUUUCUUACUAGAUGUGUUUUCAAUGGUUUAUGACGUAAUAAAAUUUCUUUACCUC